UAUGUGGGGACGGAUCUUAAUAGGUCAUCCGGGUGUUGGAUAUCCCGGUUUAGGCAGAUGUAGGCGACAGGUAGGCAAAUCCGCCUGUCAUAUACCGAGGCUGCCGAUCGAGCGAGCUUGCUCGCGAAGUGAUCGAACGAGGUUCCAGGAAAAGCCACUAAGCUUCAGCUACACACGACCGUACCGCAAACCGACACUGGUGCGCGAGAUGAGUAUUCUAAGGCGCUUGAGAGAACUCGGGAGAAGGAACUCGGCAAAUUGACACCGUAACUUCGGAAGAAGGUGUGCCCUAGUAGUGUGAAGUGAACAACGGAGCAUGAAUGGGUUGCAAAAAAUCGGUGGCUGCGACUGUUUAUUAAAAACACAGCACUCUGCAAACACGAAAGUGGACGUAUAGGGUGUGACGCCUGCCCGGUGCUGGAAGAUUAAAUGAUGGGGUGCAAGCUCUUGAUUGAAGUCCCAGUAAACGGCGGCCGUAACCAUAACGGUCCUAAGGUAGCGAAAUUCCUUGUCGGGUAAGUUCCGACCUGCACGAAUGGCGUAACGAUGGCCACACUGUCUCCUCCCGAGACUCAGCGAAGUUGAAAUGUUUGUGAUGAUGCAAUCUCCCCGCGGAAAGACGGAAAGACCCCAUGAACCUUUACUGUAGCUUUGUAUUGGACUUUGAACAGAUCUGUGUAGGAUAGGUGGGAGGCUUUGAAGCAGGGUCGCUAGAUCUUGUGGAGCCAACGUUGAAAUACCACCCUGGUGUGUUUGAGGUUCUAACCUAGGUCCAUUAUCUGGAUCGGGGACAGUGCAUGGUAGGCAGUUUGACUGGGGCGGUCUCCUCCCAAAGCGUAACGGAGGAGUUCGAAGGUACGCUAGUUACGGUCGGACAUCGUGACGAUAGUGCAAUGGCAUAAGCGUGCUUAACUGCGAGACUGACAAGUCGAGCAGAUGCGAAAGCAGGACAUAGUGAUCCGGUGGUUCUGUAUGGAAGGGCCAUCGCUCAACGGAUAAAAGGUACUCUGGGGAUAACAGGCUGAUACCGCCCAAGAGUUCAUAUCGACGGCGGUGUUUGGCACCUCGAUGUCGGCUCAUCUCAUCCUGGGGCUGUAGCCGGUCCCAAGGGUAUGGCUGUUCGCCAUUUAAAGAGGUACGUGAGCUGGGUUUAAAACGUCGUGAGACAGUUUGGUCCCUAUCUUCCGUGGGCGCUGCAGAUUUGAGGAAGCCUGCUCCUAGUACGAGAGGACCGGAGUGGACGCACCUCUGGUGUAUCGGUUGUCACGCCAGUGGCAUUGCCGAGUAGCUAUGUGCGGAAGAGAUAACCGCUGAAAGCAUCUAAGCGGGAAACUCGUUCCAAGAUGAGAUCUGCCGGGGCCUUGAGCCCCCUAAAGAGUCGUUCAAGACCAGGACGUUGAUAGGUCAGGUGUGGAAGCGCAGUAAUGCGUUAAGCUAACUGAUACUAAUUGCUCGUGCGGCUUGACCCU
rnacentral:rRNA from 1 species